UACGGAGGAUCCAAGCGUUAUCCGGAUUUAUUGGGUUUAAAGGGUGCGUAGGCGGCCUAUUAAGUUAGGGGUGAAAGACGGUAGCUUAACUAUCGCAGUGCCUUUGAUACUGAUGGGCUUGAAUGUACUUGAGGUAGGCGGAAUGUGACAAGUAGCGGUGAAAUGCAUAGAUAUGUCACAGAACACCAAUUGCGAAGGCAGCUUACUAAAGUAUGAUUGACGCUGAGGCACGAAAGCGUGGGGAUCAAACAGG
rnacentral:rRNA from 1 species